rnacentral:misc_RNA from 1 species
AACCUUAUGGACCUGCGGGCGUAUACCUGCGGAAGGAUCAUUACCGAGUUUACAAACUCCCAAACCCUUUGUGAACCUUACCAUAUUGUUGCUUCGGCGGGACCGCCCCGGCGCCUUCGGGCAACGGAACCAGGCGCCCGCCGGAGGCCCCAAACUCUUAUGUCUUUAGUGGUUUUCUCCUCUGAGUGACACAUAAACAAAUAAAUAAAAACUUUCAACAACGGAUCUCAGAUCGGAAGA